UCUGAGUUUUAGUCAGGUGGACAAGUAAAAUCAUGUCCUGUCAACUUGCAGUGUCUCACUACGCAGAAGGAUGAGUUAUAACAACCUCAACUUGAAGGGAAAUUAAAAACUUAUUAUAAGGUGUUCAUAUAACAACAAAACAUAGGUUCUUUCAAUUUUUUGCCUCAUGCGCAUGUGCCAGAAUCUCUACGUCAUAAUGACGUACUACUUUAACGAAUUUGAACAAGAAGGCGCCAUCGCCAUUUUCUGCACGAGAGGACGAGAUCGCUAAAGGAGUUGCUGGUGGGAGAAAAAAGACGACGAAGGAGCUCUUAUUUGAACGACUACAGAUGGAUUUUUUAUAACAGAGGGAGGGGGUGAAAGGAUAAAUGAAAAGAAAAACAAAGGAUUGAACCAAUAAAGGAGCCCAGUGACCGUGAAAAGGAUGUGAUCAAGGGCGUGGUGAUCGAAAUCCUAGUGGUUGUGGAAAAUGUGAUGGAGCCUCUCCCAGAAUUCUACAAUGACGUUGCCCUGGUGAUUGAGGAAGAAGUGGUGAUGCGUCACCUGAGUGACAUACCUAAUGCUUUUCUGAACCUGAUGGGCCUGGUGUACGCAUUAAACUUUGACUAUCCAAAGGAAUUAAAAUUCACUUUUGAAGUGAUACAACGCCUGUUCAUUGGAGUUGGAUCACACUCUUGCACCGCAAGAGUUCACUCUUUGAAGAGCAAGUUGCUGAGAUAAGAAACUCUUUUCUUCUCCUUGCUAUAAGCACGUACACUGUUACACUGUUUUAAAGUUUAAGACCAUUGUUAUUUUAGAUAUUAUUGUUUUAAAGGGAUACUCCAUCGUUUUGUCAUAUUAAACUGUUAUUACCUUAAAGCAAUAGUUCACUUUGAAAUUAAAUUUUGAUAUGUUUUAGC